GGAUCAAUAGCGCAGUGGCUAGAGCAAUGGCCUGGCAAGCGAUAGGUUGUGGGUUCAAGUCCCACUCGAUCCA